rnacentral:rRNA from 1 species
AUUGAACGCUGGCGGCAUGCCUUACACAUGCAAGUCGAACGGCAGCACGGGAGCAAUCCUGGUGGCGAGUGGCGAACGGGUGAGUAAUAUAUCGGAACGUGCCCAGUCGUGGGGGAUAACGCAGCGAAAGCUGUGCUAAUACCGCAUACGAUCUAUGGAUGAAAGCGGGGGAUCGCAAGACCUCGCGCGAUUGGAGCGGCCGAUAUCAGAUUAGCUAGUUGGUGAGGUAAAGGCUCACCAAGGCGACGAUCUGUAGCUGGUCUGAGAGGACGAACAGCCACACUGGAACUGAGACACGGUCCAGACUCCUACGGGAGGCAGCAGUGGGGAAUUUUGGACAAUGGGCGAAAGCCUGAUCCAGCAAUGCCGCGUGCAGGAUGAAGGCCUUCGGGUUGUAAACUGCUUUUGUACGGAACGAAACGGUGAGCUCUAAUACAGUUUGCUAAUGACGGUACCGUAAGAAUAAGCACCGGCUAACUACGUGCCAGCAGCCGCAGUAA